AUUGCACUCCAGCCUGAGUGACAGAGCAAGACUCCAUCUCAAAAAAAAAAAGCACGGGGUGUUUUUGUUUAUAUUAGAGUUUGAAAUGGAAAGUAUUUCAUCUUUCUGUUUCCCUUCUCUGUGGCAGACUGAUUUCCGAUUCUACUGGAUGCAUUCAAAGUUACCAGAAGAAGAAGGACUGGGAGAGAAAACCAAGCUUAAUCCUUUUAAAUUUGUGGGGCUAAAGAACUUCCCUUGCACUCCCGAAAGCCUGUGUGAUGUGCUAACUAUGGAUUUCCCUUUUGAGGUAGAUGGACUUCUCUUCUACCACAAACAGACCCACUACAGCCCCGGAAGCACUCCCUUGGUGGGCUGGCUGCGCCCCUACAUGGUGUCAGAUGUCCUUGGUGUAGCUGUGCCGGCUGGCCCGCUGACCACCAAGCCAGACUAUGCUGGGCACCAGCUCCAGCAGAUUAUGGAG
rnacentral:sRNA from 1 species